GAUGAAGAACGCAGCGAAAUGCGAUACGUAAUGUGAAUUGCAGAUCUCUCAGUGAACCAUCGAAUUUUUGAACGCACAUAGCGCCCGCCGGUCAUUCCGGCGGGCAUGCCUGUCCGAGCGUCAUUUAUCGGCCCUCGACUUUCUUGAGAGAGAGAGUCGGUGUUGGGAGUCUUCUGCGCGUCUCUAUGCGCGCAGCUCCCCAAGUCCACUGGCGUCGCACGCCUGGGUAUCCCCCCGCGUAGUAGUUAUACCACCUCGCCCGGGACCCUGCGAGCGCCGGCCACAAACAACCACAGCGCCCUGUGGCUCUAUGGAGCUACUUCUCGCGCUCGAAUAGUUGACCUCGGAUCAGGUAGGGUUACCCGCUGAACUUAAGCAUAUCAAUAAGCGGAGGA
rnacentral:misc_RNA from 1 species